rnacentral:rRNA from 1 species
GGCGGACGGGUGAGUAAUGUCUGGGAAACUGCCUGAUGGAGGGGGAUAACUACUGGAAACGGUAGCUAAUACCGCAUAACGUCGCAAGACCAAAGAGGGGGACCUUAGGGCCUCUUGCCAUCGGAUGUGCCCAGAUGGGAUUAGCUAGUAGGUGGGGUAACGGCUCACCUAGGCGACGAUCCCUAGCUGGUCUGAGAGGAUGACCAGCCACACCGGAACUGAGACACGGUCCAG